ensembl:processed_transcript 1110018N20Rik RIKEN cDNA 1110018N20 gene
GUUCUGCGGGUCUCGGGCUGGAGAGCCCAACCUGGCCCCCCGCAAUGGGGAGGCAAGGGAGAAGCAGGGAGAACUUUCUUUCUCUCUUUAGUGAGUUCUCAUCUCCACCCACCCCAAGAUAGUCAAGAUUUUGGGUGGAAGCAUAACGAUGGCAUUGGGCUUGCUUUUUCUAAAUCUUAAAAGAUUUUGGGCCGAGUGAGGACUGUGGAGGCUACCAGAUGCCCACCUGUCGGAGGCCACCAGGCUGCCCUGUCCUAGGGCGACCCCACUCCUCACAGCACCAGGACCUGAGGCCGCUCCCGAGACCAGGAGGGACCUACCAGAAUGUAGGUAGCAUCUGCUAGUGGGGGACCAGAUUAAACAGUGUGGAAGAAGGAAGACUACUUGCCCUUGUUAGCCAGGCCUUGCCUCUUGCUGAAGCGUUGGAUGAUGAUGAUGAUGAUGAUGAUGAUGAUGAUGAUGAUGAUGAUAAUGAUGAUGAUGCCUCCACUGAAAACAGAAACGGCCAUUUCAGGCUUCCACCCCAGACCAAGGCCCUUCAAGUCUCCAGGACACUCCAGAUUUUUUGGCGCAGGCUUGGUGACUACCGAGGCAUCUCCAGGACCAGCCAGCUCCCAGAGUCCCAGCCUCAGUGUUGAGACUGUUUCAGAGUAAGCUGAUGUCAUUCAUUCUCUAAUAUAUUUGGUAUAUAAAAUGUUUCAUAUUUUAUAUAGAAAAUCCCAACUUACACAGGACACGUGUGCCCACGUGUGUGUAUGUCCUAUGGAGGUCAGAGGUCAGCCGUGGGCUUGUUCCUUGGAUGGCAACCCUCUAUCUUGUUAUUUUUGGUUUAUUUUGAGCUAGCCUCUCUGAUUGACUGGGAGUUCUCCAAGUAGGCCAGGCUGGCUGGCUAGUGAGCCCCAGGAUCCACCUGCCUCUGCCACCCCGCCCUGGGAAUAAAAGCAUUCACUUUGCCG